rnacentral:sRNA from 1 species
UAGAGCCUUUGCAAGGUUCUAGAUGGCAUAGAGGAAUGGUAGAACCUUUACAGGGUUCUAGGAGCUAUAAAUGAAAGGUAGAGGCCUUACAGGGUCCUGGGUUAUGAAGUGAUGGCAGAACCAUUAUAGGUUUUAGGAUUCUAAGCAUUAUAAUGAGAUUCUAGAAUCUUUACAGGUUUCCAGGUGCUGUAGAGGGAUGGUAUAACCUUUACAAAGUAUGACUUAGUGAACAGAGGUUAGAUGAAUAAGUUAGGAAGUCAGGAAAAAUGGGAUGAUCCCUGGAAGGGAAUACUUGGAUUCUGUCCCUCUCUUUUUUUCUUUAAUCCCAGCCACUAAAAGAAAAGAACUGGCUUCCAAGAAAUAACAACAAACCAUAACAAAACAAAUAAAAUAAAGUAAAAUGAAAACUAUCACAUCAAAUUUGGACAAGACAAACCAUCAGAUGGAAAAGAGCCAAAGAGAAGACGCAAGAAUCAGAGACCCACUCAUUCACAGACUCAGGAAUGCCAUAAAAACACUAAACCAUAAUGUAAAAAAAUGGAGGACUUUCUGAAGAACUGUGCAUACUGCUUCAGUCUCUGUUUGCCUGAGCUUGGAGUAUGAGAUAGAGACAUCAUAUUUAGAGCUGUUUGUUCCAAGGAUAUGAGUAAUGGAUUAAAACAACACAAGACAAAAAAAAACAAAAAAAAAACAACCAAACAACAACAACAACAACAACACCCAACAACUUUGAAAUCUGAAGCCCGAAAGGAAAACUGCAAUGCUACUUGGGUCCACUAGGGAAGAAAGUGAAGGAGCUAGCAAGUAAUACACUUUAUAUUCCCAGGAAGAACUGAUACCUCCAGAAACAAGAUGGAAGGUCAUUUGAAUCGAGGAGAGACUGAGAUUGAGGUUAUGAUUAUGGAUAGAUGGAAGUGUGUGCAGAAGACACAGUCUAUAAGAAUGAGAACAAGUGGUUAAACACACGACUUAUUACUGUGUGUGCAGAGUCAUAAGGGCUGGUGUCUGACCACUGGCAUCCCUGGGAAGACUCUUCCUCACCUUUGUAUCUGUCUGAGAAAGCUUCUUGUGCAUGAGUUUGGGGCUGGGAAAGCUAACGUCAUUGACGUCAUGGGAAUCUGGUGAAGAUAAAAAAGACUCGUCAUGGGAAACACACUGCACAGAGGAGCGUCACUGCCAUCAUGACAUUAACAGAUUGGAGGUCAAGUGUGUGUGUCAUGGACUACAAAGAUCUUCCUCUUCGAUUGACAUUACAAGAGAA